rnacentral:lncRNA from 1 species
CAAAAUGGUCAUUUUGUCAUCACAGUCCACACCGUACCCUAUGUGAACAUUUUUCAUUUUACAAGGGGGCAAAGUAUAGAUUUUUAAAUGAUUGGGGGGAAAGUGAAAAAUCAAAUUUUGACAGGGGGGUUUUAUGUAAUUUAGCCUUCUUAUUAUUUUAUGUGAGAUCGCCCGUAUAUUUAUAAGGAAUUCCAAAAUCCUAAUAGGUGCGUAAGAGAUAAGGCCAAAUCGGUUAUUAAUUAUUAUCCUAAUAUGAUUAGAAUUUAUCUCUAAUUAGCUUUCCAAUUUAAAAGCGAGAUUAAUACUAAUCCAAUUAGACAACAUAAUAACCGUCGGAUCGAGCCCAAUCAUGGGCACACCCGAUUCGAUUUAACCGGAUGCCAACAAUUACUUUUCAC